UAACACUGAUCGAAAGGGGUGCAAGGGA
rnacentral:piRNA from 1 species